rnacentral:lncRNA from 12 species
ACACUCUCUGUAAAGAGAAAGAGGGAACCAGAUAUACUUGUCCCAGGCAUCCCUUCUGCACUCCUGUUUCGAGCUGCAUAGGACAGCAGCUAUGAAGUUGGUCCCACUCCUCAAGCAGCCCCUUGGACACACAGAGUCUAGGCUGGCGGGACCUGCUAUGGACGGCAGGAUGGGAGACACGGGACAGCGCUCCUUCUGACCCACGACAGGCCUGUGGGUCUGCACUCUGCUUGCGCAGUCAGCUUGAGAACGCACGCCUACUGGGGCUCUGAAUAUUCACACAAGCAAACAAACGUACCCUUGUUGUUCUAUACAAAUCCAAUCAGGCUCUGCUUGCCGUUUGGCUCCUGGCUUCUUCCUGCUGAACUUGGCCGUCCUGGUGGCUUUUCCUGGGAGCAUGUGGAGCAUGGCCGUCGACCCCUCAGCACCCUGUGCUACCACCUAAUGCCCAGGCACGCUGGCUGACCACUUGUGCACAUCUGGUUUCUCUUUAAUUCUCUGCUACUCCCCAAAAUAAUGGCAGGAACAUCUUCGUGCACAUAUGCAAGUGUCUCUGGAGGUCCCAGUUCUGGGGAUUACCACAGAGGGUGCUGAAAUAAAAUCUGUGCUGUGACACCA